rnacentral:rRNA from 1 species
AGAGUUUGAUCAUGGCUCAGGAUGAACGCUAGCGGCAGGCUUAACACAUGCAAGUCGAGGGGUAUAGGUUUUCGGACCUAGAGACCGGCGCACGGGUGCGUAACGCGUAUGCAAUCUCCUUUUACAGAGGGAUAGCCCAGAGAAAUUUGGAUUAAUACCUCAUAGUAUUAUUGAAUGGCAUCAUUUAAUAAUUAAAGUCACAACGGUAAAAGAUGAGCAUGCGUCCCAUUAGCUUGUUGGUAAGGUAACGGCUUACCAAGGCAACGAUGGGUAGGGGUCCUGAGAGGGAGAUCCCCCACACUGGUACUGAGACACGGACCAGACUCCUACGGGAGGCAGCAGUGAGGAAUAUUGGUCAAUGGGCGCAAGCCUGAACCAGCCAUGCCGCGUGCAGGAUGAAGCAUCUAUGGUGUGUAAACUGCUUUUGUACGAGAAGAAACACUCCUUCGUGAAGGAGCUUGACGGUAUCGUAAGAAUAAGGACCGGCUACUCCGUGCCAGCAGCCGCGGUAAUACGGAGGGUCCAAGCGUUAUCCGGAAUCAUUGGGUUUAAAGGGUCCGUAGGCGGUUUUGUAAGUCAGUGGUGAAAGCCCAUCGCUCAACGGUGGAACGGCCAUUGAUACUGCAAGACUUGAAUUAUUGGGAAGCAACUAGAAUAUGUAGUGUAGCGGUGAAAUGCUUAGAGAUUACAUGGAAUACCAAUUGCGAAGGCAGGUUGCUACCAAUACAUUGACGCUGAUGGACGAAAGCGUGGGGAGCGAACAGGAUUAGAUACCCUAGUAGUCC